UUGGAGGGCAAGUCUGGUGCCGGCAGCCGCGGUAAUUCCAGCUCCAAUAGCGUAUAUUAAAGUUGUUGCAGUUAAAAAGCUCGUAGUUGAAUUUCGGGAUUAAUUUAUUGGUCGUGCUAUUGUACGUACUGGUAUUAUUGAUUCCUACCUUCUGACGAACCACGAUGUCAUUAAUUUGGUGUCAUGGGGAAUCAGGACUGUUACUUUGAAAAAAUUAGAGUGUUUAAAGCAGGCUCACGCUUGAAUACAUUAGCAUGGAAUAACGAAAUAGGACGUUUGAUUCUAUUUUGUUGGUUUCUAGGAUCGACGUAAUGAUUAAUAGGGAUAGUUGGGGGCAUUAGUAUUCAAUUGUCAGAGGUGAAAUUCUUGGAUUUAUUGAAGACUAACUACUGCGAAAGCAUUUGCCAAGGAUGCUUUCAUUAAUCAAGAACGAAAGUUAGGGGAUCGAAGACGAUCAGAUACCGUCGUAGUCUUAACCAUAAACUAUGCCGACUAGGGAUCGGAUGAUGUUAAUUUUUUAAUGACUCAUUCGGCGCCUUACGGGAAAC
rnacentral:rRNA from 1 species